rnacentral:rRNA from 1 species
UGCCAGCCGCCGCGGUAAUACGGAGGGGGCUAGCGUUGUUCGGAAUUACUGGGCGUAAAGCGCACGUAGGCGGACUAUUAAGUCAGGGGUGAAAUCCCGGGGCUCAACCCCGGAACUGCCUCUGAUACUGGUAGUCUUGAGUUCGAGAGAGGUGAGUGGAAUUCCGAGUGUAGAGGUGAAAUUCGCAGAUAUUCGGAGGAACACCAGUGGCGAAGGCGGCUCACUGGCUCGAUACUGACGCUGAGGUGCGAAAGCGCCGGCAGCUAACAGGAUCAGAUA